rnacentral:tRNA from 1 species
UCCGGGGUCGUCCAAUGGCAAGACAGAGGCCUUUGAAGCCUCUUAUCCAGGUCCGAAUCCUGGCCCCGGAA